rnacentral:rRNA from 1 species
AUUGAACGCUGGCGGCAUGCCUUACACAUGCAAGUCGAACGGCAGCACGGGGCAACCUGGUGGCGAGUGGCGAACGGGUGAGUAAUGUAUCGGAACGUACCAUUGAGUGGGGGAUAACGUAGCGAAAGUUACGCUAAUACCGCAUAUUCUCUCCGGAGGAAAGCAGGGGACCGCAAGGCCUUGCGCUCUUUGAGCGGCCGAUAUCAGAUUAGCUAGUUGGUGAGGUAAAGGCUCACCAAGGCGACGAUCUGUAGCGGGUCUGAGAGGAUGAGCCGCCACACUGGAACUGAGACACGGUCCAGACUCCUACGGGAGGCAGCAGUGGGGAAUUUUGGACAAUGGGGGCAACCCUGAUCCAGCCAUGCCGCGUGAGUGAAGAAGGCCUUCGGGUUGUAAAGCUCUUUCGGCCGGGAAAAAAUCGCAUGGGCUAAUACCCUAUGUGGAUGAUGGUACCGGAAUAAGAAGCACCGGCUAACUACGUGCCAGCAGCCGCAGUAA